ACGAUGAAAAAGGAAGAGAAAAGUUCUCUUCUUCCUCAAAGAGAGAAAACACAAUGAACAUCAAGAAAAAACAUGGAGAACAAACAACAAUCCAGUUCCUUAGAUCCUACUCGAAUUAACAAACCUUCAACAUCAAAUUAUCAACCUAACAUACAAAUUUCAAAAUAAACCUAACAUACAAAAUUUUAACACUACAAAUUCACAGUCAUGUGUCUGAAUCGAAACCCACAGUGUUCCAAAUCCUAACAUACAAAUUUCAAAAUAAACCUAAAUUAAACAUGCUCUUUACUCAUGAGCACACAUAGAUAUAAUAUUCAACACGAAUCCGGAAGAAAAUGGAAAGAAUAGUGAAGAAAAUUAUCAACCUGAGCGAAACAACACUGCAACGGCAAUGACGCUACUUCAGAUUCAUUAUGGUGGAAAUAGCUUGGAGAUGAAGACACAAGACUAGAAGCAUGGUGGUGGUUUUGGGCAAGACUUGAAUUGAAGUUUGAUGGAAAACUUUGAUGACUUGUAAAUUCAUGGUCUAUACUUAAAUGUGUUUUUUUGUUUGUUUUUAAUGUGUAAAUUCAAAUUUACAUCAAUUUAGAGCAUAAUAGAAUUUUCUUCAAAUCUUAGACAAUGCAAAAUGAAUGUAAAGGAAAAAAUGUGUUAUGCUUGGAUUUCAAAUUAAAGUUUAGACAAAA